GCAGUAGCCGCGGUAAUACAGAGGGUGCGAGCGUUAAUCGGAUUUACUGGGCGUAAAGCGUGCGUAGGCGGCUUUUUAAGUCGGAUGUGAAAUCCCUGAGCUUAACUUAGGAAUUGCAUUCGAUACUGGGAAGCUAGAGUAUGGGAGAGGAUGGUAGAAUUCCAGGUGUAGCGGUGAAAUGCGUAGAGAUCUGGAGGAAUACCGAUGGCGAAGGCAGCCAUCUGGCCUAAUACUGACGCUGAGGUACGAAAGCAUGGGGAGCAAACAGGAUUAGAUACCCCAGUAGUCCCUGUCUCUUAUAA
rnacentral:rRNA from 1 species